GGGUUGAUCCUGCCUGAGGCCACCGCUAUCGGGGUCGACUAAGCCAUGCAAGUCGAGGGCCGCCCGGCCAUGGGGGCGGCCCGGCGGACGGCUCAGUAACACGUGGGUAACCUACCCUCGGGACGGGGAUAACCCCGGGAAACUGGGGCUAAUCCCCGAUAGGCGGGGCGGCCUGGAACGGUCCUCCGCCGAAAGGGGCCCGGGCCCAUGCCGCCCGGGCCCGCCCGAGGAUGGGCCUGCGGCCGAUUAGGUAGUUGGCGGGGUAACGGCCCGCCAAGCCGAUAAUCGGUACGGGCGGUGAGAGCCGGAGCCCGGAGACGGGGACUGAGACAAGGCCCCGGGCCCUACGGGGCGCAGCAGGCGCGAAACCUCCGCAAUGCGGGCAACCGCGACGGGGGGACCCCGAGUGCCGUCGGGGUAAAAACCCCGGCGGCUGUACCGGGGUGUAAAAAGCCCGGGGUAGCAAGCGGCGGGCAAGACCGCUGCCAGCCGCCGCGGUAAUAGCGGCGCCGCAAGUGGUGGCCGCUUUUAUUGGGCCUAAAGGGGCCGUAGCCGGUCCCGUGGGUCCCCGCCGAAAGCCCGCGGCUUAACCGCGGGAGUCGGCGGGGAAACUGCGGGACUUGGGACCGGGAGAGGCCGGAGGUACCCCCGGGGUAGGGGUGAAAUCCUGUUAUCCCGGGGGGACCGCCAGUGGCGAAGGCGUCCGGCUGGAACGGGUCCGACGGUGAGGGCCGAAAGCCGGGGGAGCAAACCGGAUUAGAUAUCCGGGUAGUCCCGGCUGUAAACGAUGCGGACUAGGUGUUGGGGCGGCCACGAGCCGCCCCAGUGCCGUAGGGAAGCCGUUAAGUCCGCCGCCUGGGGAGUACGGCCGCAAGGCUGAAACUUAAAGGAAUUGGCGGGGGAGCACA
rnacentral:rRNA from 1 species